UACGAAUGGGGCUAGCGUUGUUCGGAAUUACUGGGCGUAAAGGGCGCGUAGGCGGUGUGUCAAGUCAGGCGUGAAAGCCCCGGGCUCAACCUGGGAACCGCGCUUGAGACUGGCACGCUAGAGUUCGGGAGAGGAUGGUGGAAUUCCCAGUGUAGAGGUGAAAUUCGUAGAUAUUGGGAAGAACACCGAUGGCGAAGGCAGCCAUCUGGACCGACACUGACGCUGAGGCGCGAAAGCGUGGGGAGCAAACAGG
rnacentral:rRNA from 1 species